CAACCAUCGUGACGUUGUUUGGGAUAGGGAGGAAUAACGGAUUCAUUUUUCUUUAGUUGAAGAUACUCACCAUUGAUUCCCAGAAGAUUUGGUCCAUUUCUUGCUGUUUCCAAAGCUAGUUGAAGAUACUCACCAUUGAUUCCCGGAAGAUUUGGUCCAAUAUUCGUUGGUUUCAAUAGCCACUUUUAGAGGUUGUACAG